rnacentral:rRNA from 1 species
UAGCAAGAUUAAAUUUAGAUUUAAUGUUCUCGAAACCUAAAGAGCUACCUUAAUUAUAAGAGUAGUCUUAAAAUGUGAAUGUAGCAAAAUUCUUUUUAAAUUUUAAGGUAGGAAUGAUAUUUUAUUCGUGUUAGGUGAUAGCUAGUUUUGGCAAAAAUAUAUUUAAGUAUACAAAUUAAGAAAAUUUAAAACAACGAAUAUUGUUAUAAGUAUCUUAGUUUUUCAUUUAUGUGAGGAUAAGCUCAUAUAAUUACUAUAUAAUAUUUAAUAGUUAUAAAAAAAAAGGAUUUAGGCUUGAAAUUAGUCAUGAUUGAAAGUUUGUUUUAAAAUAUUUUUGUUUCUAUUAGGUUAUGUUUGACUUAUGCUAAUUAGUUUUUGUGCUAUAAAGUAAUUGGAUUUAUGCUAAAAUGAGUAUUAAUUGUUUUGAAAUAGCUUGUAAGUUAAUUUAAAUUUACUUAAUAAAAGAGUAAUGAAAUUUAAAAAAUGUAUUUAAGGAACUCGGCAAGAAUGUGUUUCGCCUGUUUAGCAAAAACAUGGCUCUUUG